GCGUGUUCAAAUCACGUCGGGGUCAUUCAAUGCACUGGGGUGAGAUCUACCAUUUGAUCUUGAAAAUCUCCCUUAAUGUCCAGGGAAGGGAAACCUGGCAGGUUAUCCCUUUAAAGGGCUCGUGCCUUGUCCUCUGAAAGAGCUCUUGCCCAGAUGUCAGACACUAGUCGCAACAGUCACAGCCCACCACCUGUCUCAGAGUUCCAAUGCGUCUUGAGCGCCACGCCGAUGAGCAAGUAUGCCUUGCACCAUGAUGCGCUAUAGGCUUCGAGCUGGGACCUCGUGGCGCAACGGAAGUGCGUCUGACUCCAGAUGAGAAGGUUCAAAUCACAUCAGGGUCAUUCAAUGUGCUCUUUUUCACACAGACCCAUGAUUUUCUGCGCAGUCUAAUAAGGAUGCUGUUAUUUGGACUCCAAUCUCUAUGAUGACCACCCAUGUCUUUGUCAACUUCAUGCUAAAAGUGCCCAAAGCCCGUGGUGGUGGCAGUGCAUGGAGUUUGUGUGGAAGCAGGAGUGGAUCUAAUCACAGCCUGUGAUAUUCGUCUGUGCACACAGGAUGCCUGGUUUCAGGUGAAGGAAGUAGAGUAACCUGUGCUGAAGGCCUGUUGUGGUGAUGACGUGUCAUGACACGUUUUGGCCCAAAUCUGCAGUAACUUUGAAAAAGUGGAAGCUCCUCUGAAUAUUGUGGAGUUUCUUGAUUUUGCGUUAAUUUCUGUGAUCACAAAAAG
ensembl:lncRNA